UACGUAGGGCGCAAGCGUUAUCCGGAAUUAUUGGGCGUAAAGAGCUCGUAAGCGGUUUGUCGCGUCUGCCGUGAAAGUCCGGGGCUCAACUCCGGAUCUGCGGUGGGUACGGGCAGACUAGAGUGAUGUAGGGGAGACUGGAAUUCCUGGUGUAGCGGUGAAAUGCGCAGAUAUCAGGAGGAACACCGAUGGCGAAGGCAGGUCUCUGGGCAUUAACUGACGCUGAGGAGCGAAAGCAUGGGGAGCGAACAGG
rnacentral:rRNA from 1 species